GACUAGUUUAACACACUCAUUCUACAGAGGGAAAAAGGGAAGCCCAAAGGACUUGCCAUAACAUGUGAAUCAACUAAAGGACUUGCCAUAACAUGUGAAUCACACAGCGAGAUAGAGGAGAGCUGGGACUGGAAGCCAGCGCUCAUCCUCGUUCCUCGGGGCUCAUGCAGGCACUAGGGUGUACCGUCCCCAUCCGCAUGCAACAGGCAGUUCUACACAAGGAGAGGCUCUCAACUCUGUCCGUGAAGACUAAGUGAAUGAAAUACUAAAAGCGCCUCGCCAUAAGACGCUCUCCUCUACGAAGCAUGCCACAGACAGAACCAGCUUUCACAGUAAAAUGCAGCUCAGAGCCAUUCGGGACUGGAGUUGGUUUGCCUGAGACACAAUUCUUCAGGAAAUUCACGCAGAAUUUCACUCAUUUUGUGCAGGCUGAAAUCAAGGCGGGUGAUUUCACUUCCAGGGGUUAGGAGAGAUCUGUUUUCUCAGUGACAUAAGAUAUGGUGACCUCUCAACGCACAAACUUUUCCAGGGAACAUCAGGGUCUUUUGGGAUGGAAAAAGAAGCUGUUUUUUUUAAGAAGCUGUUUGAAAUGUAUAUUUAAGGGAAUUCCCUGGCGGUCCAGCGUAUAGGACUUGGUGCUUUCACUGCAGCACUUUCACUGCUGUGGUUCAAGUGCAAUCCCUGAUUGGGAACUAAGACCCUGCAAGCCGUGGGCGUGGCCAAAAGAAAAAGUUGAAAUGUAUAUUUUAAAACUGCUAUAUAAGUUC